AUUGAACGCUGGCGGCAGGCCUAACACAUGCAAGUCGGACGGUAGCACAGAGGAGCUUGCUCCUUGGGUGACGAGUGGCGGACGGGUGAGUAAUGUCUGGGGAUCUGCCCGAUAGAGGGGGAUAACCACUGGAAACGGUGGCUAAUACCGCAUAACGUCGCAAGACCAAAGAGGGGGACCUUCGGGCCUCUCACUAUCGGAUGAACCCAGAUGGGAUUAGCUAGUAGGCGGGGUAAUGGCCCACCUAGGCGACGAUCCCUCGCUGGUCUGAGAGGAUGACAAGCCACACUGGAACAGAGACACGGUCCAGACUCCUACGGGAGGCAGCAGUGGGGAAUAUUGCACAAUGGGCGCAAGCCUGAUGCAGCCAUUCCGCGUGUAUGAAGAAGGCCUUCGGGUUGUAAAGUACUUUCAGCGGGGAGGAAGGCGGUGAGGUUAAUAACCUCGCCGAUUGACGUUACCCGCAGAAGAAGCACCGGCUAACUCCGUGCCAGCAGCCGCCGUAA
rnacentral:rRNA from 1 species